UGCUCCCACUAUAUAUACAACAUGAUGGAAACAUAUUUCGUAGACUUGAAAACCUAAUCUAAAUCGUGCACAACUACCAACACAAAUUCUCAAGAUCUCUCAAGAACAAAGUCACUUACAAGUUGAAGAACCUGAUCCAGACACAACAGGUAUUAAAAAGGUGGUUAUUUGCCCAUUUUUUCCGUCCAUUGCGGGCCGACCCGAAUCCGCCGCUUUUUCCAUAACUCGAGCAGAGGAGCAGGCAAAUUGAGUGUCACUUUAGCUGCCAGAACCAACAGAAUAGUGGAAUACUGAGUAGUAGAAAGAGGAAAAUGUGGAAAGACAGAGGACCAGGAGUGAAGAUCCUUUGGCUUUGGGCCAUUGGAACUGCUGGCAUUUUAGUAACUAGUGUUGUGAGGACCAGAAUGCGGGAUAUGGAGCAGUUCAUGAAUGCUCAGCAACAAACACCUCCACCUAUUGACAAUGAUCAAGAUCAUCAAUCAUUGAAUUCUGAGGAUUUCAUUCAGGAGGAGAAAGGGUGAAGAAUGUUUUUAUUGUAUGCUAAGUGUUUGAUGAAUUGUCUGAAUGAUGAUUUUAAUUGUUACUUUACAGAAUUCGGAAUUAUUUGACUCUUUUCAGCUGUUUCUUGGUUA